UAAUAUUUCCUUUAAUUGUACUUUAUUAUGUUUUAUUAGGAUUAAAUAAGUUUAAUUAAUUUAAUUAUGAAAAAGGGGUUAAGAUUAAAAACAGGAUACAUUUGCAAUUAGUGAGUUUAGAUUAAAGUGGCUAUGGGGUUUAAUUUCAGCCUAUUCUUACAGAACCCAACAAAUUUUGUCCAAAAUUGGCAAAAAAAAGCACUCCAAAGUCUCUCACAAAACUAAAACAAUGCACAGGGAUCGUUGAUCAAACUUAUCAAUGGUCCACAUUAAUCACGCUUUUCCCUUUAGUUUUAAUCUCUUGAUCCAACGGUCCCGUUUAAUCCCCAAAUUGUUUUCUUUUUAUUCUUUAAACUAAAAAUAAAUAUGAGCCAUUGAUCUAAUUGAUCCAACGGCCCAAGAUCACUCCUCCAUUUUAAACAUACCAAACCCCCAAACCAUAUGUCAUUCCCUCACUGCGCCAACCGCCCCAUUUCCCUUUUCCUCUCUCACUCUCGUCGUCCUUUCCUCUCUGCAAUCUCUGAGACGUGGCACAAAUUGAUGCAAAGUCUAAGAGACAACUGUGAAACCAUUAUCGUUACCCCUUCCCCCCAGCCGCGAAUCUAGCCGAAAAUGCCUAUUUCCAUCAUCCCCUUCCAAAUCCCCAAAUUCCAAAACCCUAGCCUCUAAUGUGAAAGGCCCCAAAUCUCAUCAUCACACCCACCUCUGUUCAAAAUUGCCAUUAAAACAUGGCAUGCAAUUUCAGAUUCAUGGGAAUCUCAACCUCACGGUGAAUUAUGAUGACCCAGAGGCCAAACGAAAGGACCUCUGGGUAAAAGCUUUGUCCGGAGGUCACUAAGCUUCAACGACUAGUCUGUUCUGAUAGGACAUUGCACGGACCUUCUGUGAUGUAAGAAGUUUUAUUGUGGUUGCUGCUUGGGCCUCCUUGGUCAGGUUGCUUGUGUAAAGACUUUAAGUCAAGAUUUAUGUGUCAAAUCGCUAUGCAAGAGCAAGGUUAAGUUGUUAAUGGCUUCUAUUAUGAGCUUGACUUCACUAUCAAGGGACCACCUCACUAGCACAAGCACUACUCUGGGUCUUAGAGACCUCUGUGACUCUGAAGUGCCAGGGGUUCAUAAGGAGACUUUGUAGGUGAAUAUGGUUUAUUCUAGCCAAUGAUCCUUGGCCUUGACUAAUCCUUAGAGGGGUGUAACAAAUAAAUGUUUGUUUAGCUUUGUCCUUUGGAUCAUGUUCAUAUUCAUCUUUUAUGAUUCUGUAUUAUGUCUCAUAUGCAAGUGCUAAUGAAAUCUUUUUUUUGCAUGAA